rnacentral:rRNA from 1 species
AAUAUUGCGCAAUGGGCGAAAGCCUGACGCAGCGACGCCGCGUGGGGGAAGAAGGUUUUCGGAUUGUAAACCCCUUUUAGGAGGAAAGAUGGGGUGGUUUUCCACCCGGACGGUACCUCCAGAAAAAGCCACGGCUAACUUCGUGCCAGCAGCCGCGGUAAUACGAAGGUGGCGAGCGUUGUUCGGAUUUACUGGGCGUAAAGAGCACGUAGGCGGUUUAGUAAGCCCCUUGGGAAAGCUACGGGCUUAACCCGUAAAGGUCGAGGGGGACUGCUAAGCUAGAGGGCGGGAGAGGAGCGCGGAAUUUCCGGUGUAGCGGUGAAAUGCGUAGAUACACGAGGAACACCAGAGGCGUAGGCGGGCGACUGGACGAGUACUGACGCUGAGGCACGAAAGCGUGGGGAGCAAACAGGAUUAGAUACCCUGGUAGUCCACGCCGUA